GGUGUUCGUGCAACUGGAGCUGCAGGCCUCAUCCAGGCUCCACUACCCAACCAUGCCAGACUGCAAUUUUGGUGAGGGCGACAGCAAUACAUAAUGGGUGCCCUUCUCUUGCCCUUCCAUUACCCAGCAGGGCUAGUAACAUUUUAUUACCCCCAAACUGAAAUCAUUUUCCAGAGGAGCAAAGAAGAAGAAAGAACUACGGGCAAGACUUUAAAACAAGCGGCCAGUGAUUACUAAUUCAUUUGCUAUUCAUCGCAAUGAGAACAAUAAUGAAUCUGGAGGGCGUGGAUGGGGGCUUUAAAUGGAAUCUCUUUCCAUUGGCACAGGAAAUGUUUCCCACGUCCUGCUGAUGGUGGCUGAAUAGAAAAGCCAAUUUCAGAGGCCAAAUGACUGACCCUGCCGGGAGCUCGGAUGUGUCUCUAAUGAAGAAAUGCAGGAGACUUGCUGCCUCAGUGAGCGUUCAAAGGACGAGAUUAUCGAUUGAAAGGGAUUGAUGGG